rnacentral:rRNA from 1 species
UACGUAGGGUGCAAGCGUUGUCCGGAAUUAUUGGGCGUAAAGAGCUCGUAGGCGGUCUGUCGCGUCGAAUGUGAAAACCCGGGGCUCAACCCCGGGCCUGCAUUCGAUACGGGCAGACUAGAGUUCGGUAGGGGAGUCUGGAAUUCCUGGUGUAGCGGUGAAAUGCGCAGAUAUCAGGAGGAACACCGGUGGCGAAGGCGGUUCUCUGGGCCUGUACUGACGCUGAGGAGCGAAAGCGUGGGGAGCAAACAGG